rnacentral:rRNA from 1 species
GAUGAACGCUAGCGGCAGGCCUAAUACAUGCAAGACGAACGGUAAGUUGAGUAGCAAUACUUAGCCAAGAGUGUCGUACGGGUGCGUAACACGUAUGCAACCUACCCUAUACAGGAGGAUAGCCUAGGGAAACCUGGAUUAACCCUUCAUAGUAUUAUUGGAUGGCAUCAUUUGAUAAUUAAAACUGAGGUGGUAUAGGAUGGGCAUGCGUCUGAUUAGUUAGUUGGCGGGGUAAUGGCCCACCAAGACGAUGAUCAGUAGGGGUUCUGAGAGGAAGAUCCCCCCACACUGGCACUGAGAUACGGGCCAGACUCCUACGGGAGGCAGCAGUAGGGAAUAUUGGGUCAAUGGAUGCAAGUCUGAACCAGCCAUGCCGCGUGCAGGAAGAAGGCCUUCUGGGUUGUAAACUGCUUUUGCCAGGGGAUAAAUUUCCAUGCGUGGAAAACUGAAGGUACCUGGUGAAUAAGCCACGGCUAACUACGUGCCAGCAGCCGCGGUAAU